rnacentral:rRNA from 3 species
CGAGAGGACCGGAGUGGACGCAUCACUGGUGUUCGGGUUGUCAUGCCAAUGGCACUGCCCGGUAGCUAAAUGCGGAAGAGAUAAGUGCUGAAAGCAUCUAAGCACGAAACUUGCCCCGAGAUGAGUUCUCCCUGAGACUUAGAGUCUCCUGAAGGAACGUUGAAGACGACGACGUUGAUAGGCCGGGUGUGUAAGCGCAGCGAUGCGUUGAGCUAACCGGUACUAAUGAACCGUGAGGCUUAACCUUACAACGCCGAAG